rnacentral:rRNA from 1 species
GAUGAACGCUGGCGGCGUGCCUAAUACAUGCAAGUCGAGCGAACGGACGAGAAGCCUGCUUCUCUGAUGUUAGCGGCGGACGGGUGAGUAACACGUGGAUAACCUACCUAUAAGACUGGGAUAACUUCGGGAAACCGGAGCUAAUACCGGAUAAUAUUUUGAACCGCAUGGUUCAAAAGUGAAAGACGGUCUUGCUGUCACUUAUAGAUGGAUCCGCGCUGCAUUAGCUAGUUGGUAAGGUAACGGCUUACCAAGGCAACGAUGCAUAGCCGACCUGAGAGGGUGAUCGGCCACACUGGAACUGAGACACGGUCCAGACUCCUACGGGAGGCAGCAGUAGGGAAUCUUCCGCAAUGGGCGAAAGCCUGAUGGAGCAACGCCUCGUGAGUGAUGAAGGUCUUCGGAUCGUAAAACUCUGUUAUUAGGGAAGAACAUAUGUGUAAGUAACUGUGCACAUCUUGACGGUACCUAAUCAGAAAGCCACGGCUAACUACGUG